AGCAGCCGCGGUAAUUCCAGCUCCAAUAGCGUAUAUUAAAGUUGUUGCAGUUAAAAAGCUCGUAGUUGAAUUUCGGGAUUGACGUGAUGGUCGUGCCUUAAGGGGUAUGAACUGUCGCAGUUGAUUUCUCACCUUCUGGAGAAGCAUGAUGUCCUUAAUUGGGUGUCAUGUGGAACCAGGACCUUUACCUUGAAAAAAUUAGAGUGUUUAAAGCAGGCAUUUUGCUCGAAUACAUUAGCAUGGAAUAAUAGAAUAGGACGGCAUGGUUCUAUUUUGUUGGUUUCUAGGAUCACCGUAAUGAUUAAUAGGGAUAGUUGGGGGCAUUAGUAUUCAAUUGUCAGAGGUGAAAUUCUUGGAUUUAUUGAAGACUAACUACUGCGAAAGCAUUUGCCAAGGAUGUUUUCAUUAAUCAAGAACGAAAGUUAGGGGAUCGAAGACGAUCAGAUACCGUCGUAGUCUUAACCAUAAACUACGCCGACUAGGAAUCAGACGAUGUUAAUUUUUAAUGACUCGUUU
rnacentral:rRNA from 1 species